AGCUGAUGAUGAGAGUUACAUGUUUUUAGCUGAUGAUGUUGGGGAUGUGGUUUUAGAUUAUGAAGGUGGUGAUGUUUUUUUAAUUGGUCCUACACGAAAAGGCAAAGGCCCGACAUGUCAAAACUGCUGCUUUUGGGGGCUAAUCACUACAGGAGGCUGCAACCCUUGCCCUCCUUUUAAAUAUAGCUUUUUCAUCUUCAAAACAAAGUAGUACCCGGAAGAAAAAUAUCUGGUCCUUUGAAAUGCUUACAGCUUUGAACAACCCAAAAAAAAUUCUGCCCAUGGUGUAUAACCCCUUCAUAAGUUCUUCUAAACACAACUAUUAUAUCAAUCUCUUUACCCGAAGGGCAUACAAAACCAUUCCAUGUCAUAUCAGAACAAAGGCCUUUUUAUGUAGACUCUUUCCCCCGCAGGUACUGAAGAUCAUCUGGAGUAUUAUGUUCAUGAGUGUGGAGACAUCUUAAACCAUCAGCAUGAAGCUACCGGCAGACUCAACCGACGCUAAACACAUUAUGGAGCAUGUCUUUGCACAGGUGUCGGAAUUCAAGAAACUCGACCAAGCGACUGGAGUGCGUCCAUACACAGGGAACGUUGGAGCAGAUGAUGUUGAUGGUGUAGACAUGGCUUACAGGGUAGUGGCUGAUCAUAUUCGCACAUUGACCAUAGCUCUCUUGGACGGAAGCUGGCCAGAUAAUGUUGGAAGAGGAGCGUAUCAAGCACUCAACUUCAAGCAUGAAAAUCUGUCGCUGAUUCAACCCCGAUUCGUGGCGCCCCUGCCUCCUCUUCAACCAGCGGUACUGAAGAUCAUCUGGAGUAUUAUGUUCAUGAGUGUGGAGACAUCUUAAACCAUCAGCAUGAAGCUACCGGCAGACUCAACCGACGCUAAACACAUUAUGGAGCAUGUCUUUGCACAGGUGUCGGAAUUCAAGAAACUCGACCAAGCGACUGGAGUGCGUCCAUACACAGGGAACGUUGGAGCAGAUGAUGUUGAUGGUGUAGACAUGGCUUACAGGGUAGUGGCUGAUCAUAUUCGCACAUUGACCAUAGCUCUCUUGGACGGAAGCUGGCCAGAUAAUGUUGGAAGAGGAGCGUAUCAAGCACUCAACUUCAAGCAUGAAAAUCUGUCGCUGAUUCAACCCCGAUUCGUGGCGCCCCUGCCUCCUCUUCAACCAGCGGUACUGAAGAUCAUCUGGAGUAUUAUGUUCAUGAGUGUGGAGACAUCUUAAACCAUCAGCAUGAAGCUACCGGCAGACUCAACCGACGCUAAACACAUUAUGGAGCAUGUCUUUGCACAGGUGUCGGAAUUCAAGAAACUCGACCAAGCGACUGGAGUGCGUCCAUACACAGGGAACGUUGGAGCAGAUGAUGUUGAUGGUGUAGACAUGGCUUACAGGGUAGUGGCUGAUCAUAUUCGCACAUUGACCAUAGCUCUCUUGGACGGAAGCUGGCCAGAUAAUGUUGGAAGAGGAGCGUAUCAAGCACUCAACUUCAAGCAUGAAAAUCUGUCGCUGAUUCAACCCCGAUUCGUGGCGCCCCUGCCUCCUCUUCAACCAGCGGUACUGAAGAUCAUCUGGAGUAUUAUGUUCAUGAGUGUGGAGACAUCUUAAACCAUCAGCAUGAAGCUACCGGCAGACUCAACCGACGCUAAACACAUUAUGGAGCAUGUCUUUGCACAGGUGUCGGAAUUCAAGAAACUCGACCAAGCGACUGGAGUGCGUCCAUACACAGGGAACGUUGGAGCAGAUGAUGUUGAUGGUGUAGACAUGGCUUACAGGGUAGUGGCUGAUCAUAUUCGCACAUUGACCAUAGCUCUCUUGGACGGAAGCUGGCCAGAUAAUGUUGGAAGAGGAGCGUAUCAAGCACUCAACUUCAAGCAUGAAAAUCUGUCGCUGAUUCAACCCCGAUUCGUGGCGCCCCUGCCUCCUCUUCAACCAGCGGUACUGAAGAUCAUCUGGAGUAUUAUGUUCAUGAGUGUGGAGACAUCUUAAACCAUCAGCAUGAAGCUACCGGCAGACUCAACCGACGCUAAACACAUUAUGGAGCAUGUCUUUGCACAGGUGUCGGAAUUCAAGAAACUCGACCAAGCGACUGGAGUGCGUCCAUACACAGGGAACGUUGGAGCAGAUGAUGUUGAUGGUGUAGACAUGGCUUACAGGGUAGUGGCUGAUCAUAUUCGCACAUUGACCAUAGCUCUCUUGGACGGAAGCUGGCCAGAUAAUGUUGGAAGAGGAGCGUAUCAAGCACUCAACUUCAAGCAUGAAAAUCUGUCGCUGAUUCAACCCCGAUUCGUGGCGCCCCUGCCUCCUCUUCAACCAGCGGUACUGAAGAUCAUCUGGAGUAUUAUGUUCAUGAGUGUGGAGACAUCUUAAACCAUCAGCAUGAAGCUACCGGCAGACUCAACCGACGCUAAACACAUUAUGGAGCAUGUCUUUGCACAGGUGUCGGAAUUCAAGAAACUCGACCAAGCGACUGGAGUGCGUCCAUACACAGGGAACGUUGGAGCAGAUGAUGUUGAUGGUGUAGACAUGGCUUACAGGGUAGUGGCUGAUCAUAUUCGCACAUUGACCAUAGCUCUCUUGGACGGAAGCUGGCCAGAUAAUGUUGGAAGAGGAGCGUAUCAAGCACUCAACUUCAAGCAUGAAAAUCUGUCGCUGAUUCAACCCCGAUUCGUGGCGCCCCUGCCUCCUCUUCAACCAGCGGUACUGAAGAUCAUCUGGAGUAUUAUGUUCAUGAGUGUGGAGACAUCUUAAACCAUCAGCAUGAAGCUACCGGCAGACUCAACCGACGCUAAACACAUUAUGGAGCAUGUCUUUGCACAGGUGUCGGAAUUCAAGAAACUCGACCAAGCGACUGGAGUGCGUCCAUACACAGGGAACGUUGGAGCAGAUGAUGUUGAUGGUGUAGACAUGGCU